GAUGAACGCUGGCGGCGUGCCUAACACAUGCAAGUCGAGCGAUUCUCUUCGGAGAAGAGCGGCGGACGGGUGAGUAACGCGUGGGUAACCUGCCCUGUACACACGGAUAACAUACCGAAAGGUAUGCUAAUACGAGAUAACAUACUUUUAUCGCAUGGUAGAAGUAUCAAAGCUCCGGCGGUACAGGAUGGACCCGCGUCUGAUUAGCUAGUUGGUAAGGUAACGGCUUACCAAGGCGACGAUCAGUAGCCGACCUGAGAGGGUGAUCGGCCACAUUGGAACUGAGACACGGUCCAAACUCCUACGGGAGGCAGCAGUGGGGAAUAUUGCACAAUGGGCGAAAGCCUGAUGCAGCAACGCCGCGUGAGCGAUGAAGGCCUUCGGGUCGUAAAGCUCUGUCCUCAAGGAAGAUAAUGACGGUACUUGAGGAGGAAGCCCCGGCUAACUACGUGCCAGCAGCCGCAGUAACAC
rnacentral:rRNA from 1 species